GAGAGACGCCAUUGCAAGCCUCUGCAGAGGCGCUGGAGCUGGGUCAGUCCGCCGCUCACCCCGCGGCCGCAACUUCCCGCCUUCUCAGCUUACAUGGCGUCUUCAACAAAAAGUAAUUGUUUAGAGAAGUGACAAGAUGAAGGAGGACUCUGAGUCCUAGUCUCCCUCCUCGAGUCCCUGUGUGAGCAGAGGUAAACAAUGAAAACUCACCAACCAGGAGAAAUUCACCUAGGACUGGCGCAGAAGGUAUACACCAUGAGCCUGGAAAUGAUUUAAAAGACAACACAGGCUGGGCGCGGUGGCUCACACCUAUAGUCCCAGCACUUUGGGAGGCAGAGGCGGGCGGAUUACUUGAGGUUUGCGAGUUCGAAACCAGUCUGACCAACGUGGAGAAACCCCGUCUUUACUAAAAAUACAAAAUUAGCCAGGUGUGGUGGCGCAUGUCUGUAAUCCCAGCUACUGGGGAAGCUGAGGCAGGAGAAUCCCUUGAACCCGAGAGAUGGAGGUUGGGGUGAGCUGAGAUCACACAAUUGCAGUCCAGCCUGGGCAGCAAGAGUGAAACUCCAUCUCAAAAAAACAAAAAAAACAACCCACAACUGUGGGCCAAAGGGACACAGCGACAAGGGGUCCCAGUGGGCGAGGCUGGAAUAACUUGAAUAGCAGAAUAAAGUAGCAUUGGAUUAUAAUGCACAGGGCUGAAGAAAUAUCGAUGAGUCUUUGCUGAUGUAAUAAGUGACUGAAUGAGCUGGGCAGAGUGGGACCUGCAGUUCAGCUACUCAGAGGCUGAGGUGGGAGCAUCAGUUGAGCCCAGGAGUCAAGGCCUAGUAAUAUCCCAUUUCCAAAAUAAAAGACUGAAUAAAUAAAUAGAUGGGAGAGAGGAGACAAUUGACCAUGCAGGAGGAGUCCAAAUAUUUGUUCUUUGAGGCAGGAUCUUCCUCUGUCAUUCAGAAGGCUGGAGUGCAAUGGUGCGCUGUUGCCUUGCUGCAGCCUGGACCUCCUGGGCUCAGGCAGUUGUCCCACCUCAGCCUCCCAAGUAGCUGGGACCAGAGGCAUGCACAUCCAGCCGAGUCCAAAUAAUGUAUGCAGAUAUGCCCUCACAGAGGUGACCUGAACUUUCUGAGUUGUGAGUGAGCUUCACCUGGGGACCUCCUUUUAGGUAGCAGGGAAAAAGAGGAGGGUGAGCCACACUCAGGCACCUCCUUCCAGAGAGCAUGUGCCUCAGCCUCCAGAGUAGCUGGGAUUGCAGACAUGUGCCACCAGCCUGACUAAUUUUUGUAUUUUUAGUCGAUACGGG
rnacentral:lncRNA from 1 species